UCCCCGUUACCGGGGCAGUCUAGCUAGAGAAAUUCAACUAGCUAUAAGGGUUGCGCUCGUUGAUGGACUUAACCAAACAUCUCACGACACGAGCUGACGACGGCCAUGCAACACCUGUCAUCGGGUUCCCGAAGGCACUCUCUCCUUUCGGAGAAAUUCCCGAGAUGUCAAGUCUUGGAUAAGGUUCUUCGUUUACCGUCGAAUUAAACAACACGCUCCACCGCUUGUGCGGGUCCCCGUCAAUUCCUUUAUGUUUUAGUCUUGCGACCGUACUCCACAGGCGGGAUGCUUAACGCGUUAGCUUCGCUACUACCAGGGUCGAUACUGAUAACAGCUAGCAUCCAUAGUUUACGGCGUGGACUAC
rnacentral:misc_RNA from 1 species